GGCUGUGGCUCAGUAGUAGAGCACUUGCCUAGCAUGCAUGAGGCCCUGGGUUCAACCCCUAGUACCA
rnacentral:tRNA from 1 species